UUUAAUAUAAUUUUUAUUGUAUACGUUUAUUUUACAUUCUUGAUCUUUAUUUUUUAUCAUUUUAGUCGUAUUAAAAGAAAUUUUUACGAUUCGUAUCAUUUCGUGAAAUGGAAUUAUUCAAGGUCGUAUAUUUUUCCGAAUAUACAUACGUAUAUAUCGUGUGCAACGUCUCGCGUGUGUGUUUACUGUUUACUUUUUUUGAUCUAUCGUUUGUAUUUUGCUCGAGGCUAGAAACAAUCCUUAUAACAUUGUGCUUCCAAGAAAUUGGAUUCGUGUCCAAACAUGUUUCGACUUGUCGAACGUAUCCCCUCUCCUUGUUAUUAUUUCAAUGCGCAGAAGCGAAGCGCGAAGAGACAUUAUUCGUUGAUUCGUCGUAGGGAUUAGAAGUUAGAAAUUUUCUCGAGACGUGUAUUCUAUUUAGUGCGUAAUAUUUUAAUAUUAUUCUUUUUAUAAUUAUUUUUUUUCUUCAUUUAUACAUUUGUAUUUAAUUGAAAAUAUCUUUAUUCAAUAUUUAAUCAUUAGAAUAGAUAAUUCUUUGACAACUCAAAUCAUUUUGAGUUCCUUAUUCAUCAUAUAAUUCAAGUGUCGAAUUUAAUAAGAUAACUUAGGUGAGUUUUUAUUUGAUUUGAUUGUUGUGAUCUUGUGACUUUAACGUAAUUUAAUUUCAUACAUUUUAUUCAUUUAUUUAGAAGUUUUGAUUUCUUUUUGUACAGGUUUAGUUGGUAGUGUCAUGAUAGAUCUCCGAAGGCGGGAAAAAUUCCAAUAUGGACGCCAUGUCUUUCGUGAUGACGUGAUAAAAUUUUACAUUUCGUAUGUAUAAAUUUUUAUUUUGUUUUAUUGGAUCUCAAAUAUUCAUAAACAAUUGGUAACAUUUUUAUACACAAUUCGUAACCAAUUAAAAUAAAAAAGCAGUAUUUUCAAGAACAAAUGUUCGAUAGGAAAAAGAAAAAGAAAAAUAUCAAAAAGAUAUUGUUUCUUGUUCUAGUCCUCACCCCAUUACUAAUUUAAUAUUAAUUUCAGAAAAUAUUUGUGACCGCGCGCAAUGCGGUUAAUAGAAUCAGUGUUUGCUUCGUCAGUAGUAUUUUUAAUAUUUUUUAGAGCACAAUAGCUCUGAUUAAAUUUAUUUAGAAUAAACAAAGAAUCGCGAAGAUAGAAUCAGUGUUUUUUCGCCGAUUAAUUUAUACGGACGCGUUAUUAGUUUCUUAUUUUUAUUUUGUUUUUACAAAUAUUCGUUUUCGGUACAGAGUAAAGUCAGUGCUUCUCUCAAGAGAAUAAGGCGAUCAUCCAUCACGCGAAGAGAUGCUGAUAAUCUGCUCUUCAUGAAAGCUUUUCUUGGAUAAUAUUUAAUCUUAAAAAAUAUUUGUGACCGCGCGCAAUGCGGUUAAUAGAAUCAGUGUUUGCUUCGUCAGUAGUAUUUUUAACAUUUUUUAGAGCACAAUAGCUCUGAUUAAAUUUAAUUAGAAUAAACAAAGGAUCGCGAAGAUAGAAUCAGUGUUUGUUCGCCGAUUAAUUUAUACGGACGCGUUAUUAGUUUCUUAUUUUUAUUUUGUUUUUACAAAUAUUCGUUUUCGGUACAGAGUAAAGUCAGUGCUUCUCUCAAGAGAAUAAGGCGAUCAUCCAUCACGCGAAGAGAUUUCUUUCCUCCUCCUACCUGAUGGCAGCCUUCUUCUCGAUGACUUCUAGGUCAGAACACAGCGAAGCCGUUCGUCGCAUCGUAUGGUGAGUCGCAUGGUUUUUGGUUCCUCUGGUCGCUCAAUCAUGUCGUAGGAUGAGAGAUCCGAAUCGACACGAGUGACUGGUUGUAUACGUAGAAUUUUGCACGAGCACAAUGAUCGCGGGUAUUUAUUUAUAAUACCCGUGAGUAGUAACAAUUAUUUCUUUUGUGAUUUAUUAGUUCAGGCUAGAGUCUUCUUAUGCAUCGCGUUUUUGAUUAAUAAUAUUUAGCGAUUUUGUAAAUUUU